rnacentral:rRNA from 1 species
UGUGCCAGCAGCCGCGGUAAUACGUAGGGUGCGAGCGUUGUCCGGAAUUACUGGGCGUAAAGGGCUCGUAGGUGGUUUGUCGCGUCGUCUGUGAAAUUCCGGGGCUUAACUCCGGGCGUGCAGGCGAUACGGGCAUAACUUGAGUACUGUAGGGGUAACUGGAAUUCCUGGUGUAGCGGUGAAAUGCGCAGAUAUCAGGAGGAACACCGAUGGCGAAGGCAGGUUACUGGGCAGUUACUGACGCUGAGGAGCGAAAGCAUGGGUAGCGAACAGGAUUAGAU